UACGGAGGGUGCAAGCGUUAUCCGGAUUCACUGGGUUUAAAGGGUGCGUAGGCGGCCAGGUAGGUCCGUUGUGAAAACUCGAGGCUCAACCUCGAGACGUCGACGGAAACCAUCUGGCUAGAGUCCGGAAGAGGAGAGUGGAAUUCCUGGUGUAGCGGUGAAAUGCGCAGAUAUCAGGAAGAACACCCGUGGCGAAGGCGGCUCUCUGGGACGGUACUGACGCUGAGACGCGAAAGCGUGGGGAGCGAACAGG
rnacentral:rRNA from 1 species